CCCUUAGAUGUCCGGGGCCGCACGCGCGCUACACUGAAGGAAUCAGCGUGGCUUUCUCCCUGACCCGAAAGGGUUGGGAAACCCGUUGAAUCUCCUUCGUGAUAGGGAUUGGGGCUUGAAAUUGUUCCCCAUGAACGAGGAAUUCCCAGUAAGUGCGGGUCAUAAGCUUGCGUUGAUUAAGUCCCUGCCCUUUGUACACACCGCCCGUCGCUACUACCGAUUGGAUGGUUUAGUGAGGCCCUCGGAUCGGCCCCGCCGGGGUCGGCCCACGGCCCUGGCGGAGCGCUGAGAAGACGGUCGAACUUGACUAUCUAGAGGAAGUAAAAGUCGUAACA
rnacentral:rRNA from 1 species